rnacentral:rRNA from 1 species
CAUGCAAGUCGAACGGAAAGGCCCUUCGGGGUACUCGAGUGGCGAACGGGUGAGUAACACGUGGGUGAUCUGCCCUGCACUUUGGGAUAAGCCUGGGAAACUGGGUCUAAUACCGGAUAGGACUCUUGGCUGCAUGGCUGGGAGUGGAAAGCUUUUGCGGUGUGGGAUGGGCCCGCGGCCUAUCAGCUUGUUGGUGGGGUGAUGGCCUACCAAGGCGACGACGGGUAGCCGGCCUGAGAGGGUGUCCGGCCACACUGGGACUGAGAUACGGCCCAGACUCCUACGGGAGGCAGCAGUGGGGAAUAUUGCACAAUGGGCGCAAGCCUGAUGCAGCGACGCCGCGUGGGGGAUGACGGCCUUCGGGUUGUAAACCUCUUUCAGCUCCGACGAAGCGCAAGUGACGGUAGGAGCAGAAGAAGCACCGGCCAACUACGUGCCAGCAGCCGCGGUAAUACGUAGGGUGCGAGCGUUGUCCGGAAUUACUGGGCGUAAAGAGCUCGUAGGUGGUUUGUCGCGUUGUUCGUGAAAACUCACA